CAGUCGCCGCGGUAACACGAAGGGUGCAAGCGUUAAUCGGAAUUACUGGGCGUAAAGCGUGCGUAGGCGGUUCGUUAAGUCUGUUGUGAAAGCCCCGGGCUCAACCUGGGAAUGGCAAUGGAUACUGGCGAGCUAGAGUGUGUCAGAGGAUGGUGGAAUUCCCGGUGUAGCGGUGAAAUGCGUAGAGAUCAGGAGGAACAUCAGUGGCGAAGGCGGCCAUCUGGGACAACACUGACGCUGAGGCACGAAAGCGUGGGGAGCAAACAGGAUUAGAUACCCCUGUAGUCCCUGUCUCUUAUAC
rnacentral:rRNA from 1 species